AUUGAACGCUGGCGGCAGGCCUAACACAUGCAAGUCGAGCGAGCGGCGGACGGGUGAGUAAUGCCUGGGAGUUGCCCAGUCGAGGGGGAUACCAGUUGGAAACGACUGCUCAUACCGCAUACGUUUGGAUCGUCCAGGUGGGAUUAGCUAGUUGGUGAGGUAAUCGCUCACCAAGGCGACGCUCCCUAGCUGGUCUGAGAGGAUGAUAAGCCACACUGGGACUGAGACACGGCCCAGACUCCUACGGGAGGCAGCAGUGGGGAAUAUUGCACAAUGGGGGAAACCCUGAUGCAGCCAUGCCGCGUGUAUGAAGAAGGCCUUCGGGUUGUAAAGCACUUUCAGCGAGGAGGCGUUACUCGCAGAAGAAGCACCGGCUAACUCCGUGCCAGCAGCCGCGGUAAUUC
rnacentral:rRNA from 1 species